rnacentral:rRNA from 1 species
CAGGCGAUGCCACCCACGCACCAUCGAUGCCUUGCAGCCGACUGAUCCGGGGUUCUUCCACGCGGGCGAGCAGAGGCACCCCAUGGCGCCACCUCCUCCUCUCCUUCUCCUGGCGCGCGAAGACCUCGACGGAGCGACCUCCAUCGCGUCAUCGAUCUGGCCGCUGCCUCACCUGCGGCUCAAUCUGAUCUGGGAGAGAUGGUGAGGGGUGGGGGCGGCGGAGUAAGGGGAAAGGGAGAGGGAGAUCCGGUGCAGGACUACCGCGCUGCAGACUUGAGGCACCCAACCCCGGCCACCUCGACGACUCUGCCUCCUCAAGGACGACCUCCACCACCUCCCUGCUGCCCAGAAGCGACGAGGCCGCCGCCUCUCGGCAACUUCCCGCAGAAAUUCCCCUUCAGAUUUUUUUUUGAAUUUUAAAUUCCCCUUCAGAUAGUGGAGAGGCAUCGCUCCCAUAGUCUUCAGCAUCAGUGUCGUCACAGAUCCGUUCUCUUUUUCAUCAAGUUGGCUGGGGGCUUUGGCCACAUGACAACUUUCAUUUGAAAUAUAGAAGAUAUGAAUCAGUGAAGUUGAUGUCAUACCACUCAUGUUUCGGCACUGUGCGAACAAACUUUGAGAUCUAUAUUGCCAUCCCAACAGAUGAAAAAUACUAUGAUGGGUAUAUCAUUGACAACCAAUGGUUUUUUUAUGCUUGAAAAAUACUUCAUCGCUGCAAUAUGAUGGUAAGAUAUGUUUUGUUUUCCUCUAAGGAAACUUCAUAACUCAAACACGGUUUUAGUUUUGCAGCAUUGUAGAGUUCUUUUGAGCGUAUGGGAUUCCAAAUCAUAUUCUGAUUUUUCAUUCACAAUGCUUUCUUCAUUCCCAUUAUCUUGACCUUCAUGGUAAUAAUUGCCACCUAAAUCUAGAAAAUAAUCACUGGUUAUGUAUGGUUCAACAUUUGUGCAUCACCAGUUGUAAAGGGUUCAGUAUAUCAAUUCGUUGAAGUUUGUUGCUAUAUUCAUAUGUACAUUUCUAUCAAAUGUACAUGAUUUCAUUUUUGUUGGUGGUGUAGACUCAUUGGAUUAUUCCAUUUUUUUUGUCAAUUUGAUUGUGGGAAUGACCCAAAAUUUGCCAAAGGAGUAGUGCAGUGGGUGCUCAAAUCUUCAUAUUUCGGCUGCUUUAAAAUGAUUUGGCGUCUGCAAGUAAUGUUCCCUUCUUAUUGUGAGUAACGUGGGGCAAAAUCUUCAUGAAAUACUGUAGAGAACUAGGCCAUUACCAAUCUAGGUGCCAUCAGCUUUGUGACCAUGUUUAUUACUCUCACUUACAAUUUUGUUGUCUUUUACUUUUGGUCUGGUAAGGGAUCUUUUAUGUACCAUCUCAUGGUAGUAUUUUUUCCUUCUAAUUGUAUAGUUCAUCUAUGCUGAAAUACAUGCAAAAAAAAAUUUAAAGUGGGCCGUGUUCUUGCCCCGUUUGCUACUUGAUGCAUCUGUCCUUUUUCCUCCCAUGUCAUGACUGUCAUGUGAUCAAUCUUUUUGUUGGGAAUAGUAAUAUAUCUAUUUCUUUUUUAUCAUUUUGUUGAUCUAUUCGUCAAAAAAUAAAUAUCUAUUGCUAUUUUGUAUAACUAUGAGCUUCCUUAUUGACAUCUAUUGUUACUAAUCCAGCAGGGCUCCUGACUCCAUGGCGUGCCUUAGUCUUUUGGUGGGCAUAUUUAAAGUUGAGGGAUCUUUUAUUACAUUUCAAUUUGCUUUGGAAAUGUUCUGCCGGCUCAAGUGCUCAUGUCAAGGAAUAUAGCUCUAUUUUUCUUAGAUUUUUCAUUUGCCUUGCAAUGCUAAUGGAGAGAAGGCAACAAAAUUAUUCGAGGGAUAGAGAUUGUUAACGAAUAGAUCAACAAAUUAUUUGCCAUGGAAAUUGCUAUUUGGAGACCUGGUGCAUUCGGAAAGUCUGUAACGACCAGGUCUUGCAUCAUGUACUUCCAAACUUUGGUUGGUGCAGGAUUCCCGAUAGCAGUAGCACCUACACAUAGAACUGUACUGGAGAGUGAAAAGUAAUUUGCUCUUUCCCCAACUCAUAACAUUAUUCCAUGUGACUGAGAGUAAUCUUAUCAUCAAAAUUAUCAUUUUACAUGAUCAUCAAUGUUUAUUUUUUGACCAUACAUUCCCGUAGCAACGCGCGGGGAAUCAUCUAGUUUAGUUAAAAAUUGUGUAUACUAGUCUUUUUUUUAGAAUUUUCAUAGAAUCGUGUGGACUAGUUUCAAAUGCACUUCUUAAGCUAUGGUACUCCCAUGUGACAGAGAAAUAAAUAACACAUGCUUCCUGUCCCCAACAGUAAAUAAAUUUGGUAAACUCCAAUUAUAUUGCGCAAAGAAGUUCUAGCCCACAUUGUUUGCCCACUUACAGGCUUUGUAGCUCACUUGGAUUCAGCGCAACAGUUAUCUAAUCCUUUAACCUGUCUAAACUAACAGGGCCAUGGGGAGUUCACCCUGCUGAGAGAUUCCGACGGACAAGAUCCAACGAGCGGUGUAGAGGGGAAUCCACCAAAUUCGUUGGGAAACCAAAUUGCCUUCAGCCCAUAUUUGGACACUUUAUGGAUUCAUUAUCUACCUUAAAAAGCUCCAGAAGUAUAUGGCCAUAUGGGCUAUUGCCUUGACAUCCCAGGGUCGUAGCAACUAAUUCAUACAUUGUGUUGCGCUCAUUCAUGAUACCACCCAUUCACAAACAAAGUUGCAUGCUAUACAUGUCUAUGAGAAAUUG